rnacentral:rRNA from 1 species
GAUGAACGCUGGCGGCGUGCCUAAUACAUGCAAGUCGAGCGAACAGACGAGGAGCUUGCUCCUCUGACGUUAGCGGCGGACGGGUGAGUAACACGUGGAUAACCUACCUAUAAGACUGGGAUAACUUCGGGAAACCGGAGCUAAUACCGGAUAAUAUAUUGAACCGCAUGGUUCAAUAGUGAAAGACGGUUUUGCUGUCACUUAUAGAUGGAUCCGCGCCGCAUUAGCUAGUUGGUAAGGUAACGGCUUACCAAGGCGACGAUGCGUAGCCGACCUGAGAGGGUGAUCGGCCACACUGGAACUGAGACACGGUCCAUACUCCUACGGGAGGCAGCAGUAGGGAAUCUUCCGCAAUGGGCGAAAGCCUGACGGAGCAACGCCGCGUGAGUGAUGAAGGUCUUCGGAUCGUAAAACACUGUUAUUAGUGAAGAACAAAUGUGUAAGUAACUAUGCACGUCUUGACGGUACCUAAUCAGAAAGCCACGGCUAACUACGUG